AUGCCCCAGGGCAGCCUGGAGAACCACUUGUUCCGGCGGGGCAGCCCGCGGCGUGGCGUCGGAGCUGCUGGUGGACUGGGCGAUGCCGAUGCUGCAGGGGGAGCGGCCCAAGGUGAUACGGGUCAUGGACACCAGGCUCGGCGGGCAGUACCCCAAGAGGCAGGCGCAGGACAUGGCUGCACUCGCGCUCCGCUGCCUCCAGAACGACCCUAA
rnacentral:rRNA from 1 species